AGGGUAAUAGUUAAAUAUAACAUUUGAAUUGCAAUCAAAAAGUAUUGAAAAAACAAUUUACCUUU
rnacentral:tRNA from 1 species